UGGGUUAUCUUCAGCAGCCAGUACACUGAAACUGGACGGAUCCAGAGAUUAGCACCGCCCCCAAGCAAGGGCGACACGCAAAUUCAUGAAGUGUUCCACAUUAAA
rnacentral:snRNA from 1 species